UACGUAGGGUGCAGGCGUUAAUCGGAAUUACUGGGCGUAAAGCGUGCGCAGGCGGUUUGCUAAGACAGGUGUGAAAUCCCCGGGCUUAACCUGGGAACUGCGCUUGUUACUGGCAGGCUUGAGUGUGGCAGAGGGGGGUGGAAUUCCACGUGUAGCAGUGAAAUGCGUAGGGAUGUGGAGGAACACCGAUGGCGAAGGCAGCCCCCUGGGCUAACACUGACGCUCAUGCACGAAAGCGUGGGGAGCAAACAGG
rnacentral:rRNA from 1 species